rnacentral:tRNA from 1 species
GGAGAGGUGGCUGAGCGGUUGAAAGCGCAUCCCUGCUAAGGAUGUAGAGGUUAACGCUUCUCGAGGGUUCGAAUCCCUCCCUCUCCG